CAGGACCCAGAUCUGCAGGGAUGGGAUGCUUAACUCUGCGAAGAAGUCUUUUCACCGAAACACGAUAGAGGGCAAAGAGAAGUUGACAAAGAAAGGCUCCCGCCCAGGGCCAGUGUCAAAGCCUGCUGUGUGUCUGCAAGUUUGGGCCGGGCGUGAGAGGUGGAAGGGGAGGGGCCUCCUCAGAGCGUGGAGCUGGCCUGGGGAAUUCACAACCAAGCAGCCUACAUACAGCCUGUAGUCCUGCAGGUCUAAAGCGGGCAAUCCCAGCUCUUCUGAAAGUAAGAGUCAAGAGAAUAAACAGUGCUGG